rnacentral:rRNA from 1 species
GAUGAACGCUGACAGAAUGCUUAACACAUGCAAGUCAACUUGAAUUUGGGUUUUUAACUUAGAUUUGGGUGGCGGACGGGUGAGUAACGCGUAAAGAACUUGCCUCACAGCUAGGGACAACAUUUAGAAAUGAAUGCUAAUACCUGAUAUUAUGAUUUUAAGGCAUCUUAGAAUUAUGAAAGCUAUAAGCACUGUGAGAGAGCUUUGCGUCCCAUUAGCUAGUCGGAGAGGUAACAGCUCACCAAGGCGAUGAUGGGUAGCCGGCCUGAGAGGGUGAACGGCCACAAGGGGACUGAGACACGGCCCUUACUCCUACGGGAGGCAGCAGUGGGGAAUAUUGGACAAUGGACCGAGAGUCUGAUCCAGCAAUUCUGUGUGCACGAUGAAGUUUUUCGGAAUGUAAAGUGCUUUCAGUUGGGAAGAAAAAAAUGACGGUACCAACAGAAGAAGUGACGGCUAAAUACGUGCCAGCAGCCGCGGUAAUACGUAUGUCACGAGCGUUAUCCGGAUUUAUUGGGCGUAAAGCGCGUCUAGGUGGUUAUGUAAGUCUGAUGUGAAAAUGCAGGGCUCAACUCUGUAUUGCGUUGGAAACUGUAUAACUAGAGUACUAGAGAGGUAAGCGGAACUACAAGUGUAGAGGUGAAAUUCGUAGAUAUUUGUAGGAAUGCCGAUGGGGAAGCCAGCUUACUGGACAGAUACUGACGCUAAAGCGCGAAAGCGUGGGUAGCAAACAGG